UACGUAGGGUGCAAGCGUUAAUCGGAAUUACUGGGCGUAAAGCGUGCGCAGGCGGUUAUGCAAGACAGAUGGGAAAUCCCCGGGCUCAACCUGGGAACUGCAUUUGUGACUGCAUGGCUAGAGUACGGUAGAGGGGGAUGGAAUUCCGCGUGUAGCAGUGAAAUGCGUAGAGAUGUGGAGGAACACCGAUGGCGAAGGCAGCCUCCUGGGUCAAUAUUGACGCUCAGGCACGAAAGCGUGGGGAGCAAACAGG
rnacentral:rRNA from 1 species